GUCUCCCCCCUCCCCCCUUCCAAAUGAACAAGUAAAUCACUCAGAGUGACUAAUUAGGACUUUCCUUUGAGCUAAAUGAAGUCUGUAAACCGGUCUGUGGAUGUGGGGGUUUUUCAGAUGUGUCCCUGGGAGAGGCUGGCUGGCCUUGCCGAGGGCGCUGGCUGCGGUGGUGGCUGCAGGGCUGGGACAGGACGAGGGCUGGGACAGGAGACGUCGCUCUGCUGCUGCAGCAGCUCUGGGGACUUCCCUGGCCUAGGAGAAACGCGGAGCAUCGCCCAGCCAGGGGCUGGCCUGCAGGUAGGAUGCUGCUCAGCUUCGCACUGAAACCUUCUGCCGUUCAGUGGUGUCGAGCGCUCACUUCUGUCGCUGCAGCUGGCGAGGGUGCCUGGCGUGUGGCUGCACAUAUCCUGAGCUGUGGCUGCCCCUUCGGCCUCUCCUGUGCAAAAGGACAGAAGCCAAAUUCCCCCAAAAAUGCCCGCUGCAGUGCGAGCCGGGCUUCGGUGCCUGAGUCUGAAAGGUCUGAAAGUGUUCGCCGAACAGCAGCAAAACGUCUGGUGGACUGCUGGGGCGAUGGCUGCCGGGCAGUACUUUCAUAAGAGGAGGCACUUCAUUAAGUUUGCUUGGUUUUGGGAAAGCUGUGCACCCUCAGACCACGCGUAGCCACGCCGGUUUACUCCCCUAAUGAGGAGGCAGGAGUUUGUCUGCCAGCUCUGUUGGCACAUCAAGGGAGUGCGCUGGGGGAAGCGUUACAUCUGCUGCUGGUGCAGGGGAAGGGAAAUUGGGAUCUGAGUGCACAAAUAGGGCUGGGGCUCAGACUUCGUGCCUGACUGCUGCUCCACGGGCGUCAUUGCGAGUGCAGUAAAUCCCACCCUGGACAUCUCCGCCGUUCACUGUAGUGCAUUCAGCACGUCUCCCUCAGCAUUAACUUUUGGCCCUGCUUUGCAUCGCUGGUGCCCAGCUCAUGGACGUGGGCUCGGCUUCUGGCACAGCCGACACCUCUCCUCCUGCCCGAGCCGCAUCCUGCUGCGGGCCCAGCACGCCUGAGGCCUCGCGCUGCCGGGAGGAGCACGGGGACCUCUGCAGAGUGGCACCUUUUGAGAUGGAGCUUUCUGCUGCGUGAUUUGCCCCCGAUCUAAUAAAUGCGAUCCAUUAAUUGGAUCAUUGCCUGCUUCUCCAGUUAAUUUCCUGGAUAUUUUUAAACGUUAAAAUGUAGUUUUUAUAGUCUUUCAUUAUUUUUAGCCUUAAGCUCGACUAUAAUCGUCCCUGUAAUGUAACUGUAAAAAACUCCCGGCUUUAUAUCAUAAAGGAGGACAUUAAUUGUCAUUUUUUGUGUACAUCAGCAAGAUCAAAACAUGCUUCCUGAUUACUUCUGUUUGUACAUAGAGUCUCUUUGAUAUUUAGAUAUGAAUAAAGUGUGUGUGUGUAAUUUGAAAGUCAAUUCUUCCCUCCCUGCUGCUUGUCAUGGAUUCCUCUCAGAAGCAUAUUUACCAAAUUGAUUUUAAAAUUUAGUAAUUGCCCUUCCAAAAUGAUUUCUCAAUAAUCAAAGUGUCUCUAAGCACAGUGGCAAAAUAUUUGUCCUUGCUAUCU